rnacentral:lncRNA from 1 species
GGAGUUGAGAGUUAGUAGGAUUUUAGUUCAAAUUAAAUACUUUUAAUUUUAAUUUAAUUUAUUUUUUCAUUUUCUUGAAAUUUCCCCUUAUUCUAACUUUUUUUCUUUCUUCCCUUUUUUGUGCUCUAUUGAUUUUCUUUCUUUUUCUCCUUUGAUUCUGUCAUAAUUCUUUAAUUAUAUUGCUCUGCUUUGAAUUCGCCGUGUAGAACCUAUAUUUUGCCCGGGCUUAUAGGAAAUAAAAUUAAACAAUCCAUUUAAAGUCCUUUUACAGAACCCAAAUAACAAACCCACUAACCACAGCCCAAAAAUUAAAACCCAAAAUUAAACCUAAAAAUUCUACCCGAAUACCCAUUACACCCAUACCUAAAUUCACAACCCGAAUCAGCCCAAAAUACCCUUUUGAUCCAACAAACAAACACAGCCCAGCAGGCCCAACUAACUUAAGGAGUUUCAGCUUCUGAGAAACCCUAGCUAGGGUUCGCGCCGUAAGCUUCCAGCCGACAUCAACCUCAUGUUGCGCCGCAAUCAAAGGCCUGAAUCAGCAUGCCCUCACCUCCGUCGCAAUCAUCGUGUAUAAACCUGCAAAAGGAAGGAA